GUCCCAAGGCCAAGAACAGCCCUUGCAGCAAGAUGUGCGCCCCUCAUUCCUCACAAACGCUACAGCCACAGACCGCAUAAAUCCAGAUGAGGAAGCCGGUACCCGGCUGGCAGAAGAGAGGUUUGAACUCAGGGAUCUGACUCCACUGGUCAUGACUUGAACUUCUGCUGGGGGAUAAUCAAUUCUGAUGGCCUUUCUGACCAUCAAUGGAAACAACUCCACCGCAGUCUUUAACUGCCUUUAACAGCAAAGAAGACAUUCCUGCAACACUCACCUGCACCUAGCAGAUCUGAGUGCAACCUCAUUAAACUGAGUGGCCUCAGGGGACCAACUCCAAGACCCCAGUGAAUGGAGGAACAAACUGUCCAUAGAAACAAGAUUCUAAAUGGACUGGAUAUAAGUCACCAAGGACACCUGGGUCUCCCCUGAACUCCCUGCUGCCUGGCAGCCUUCCCAAGCGAGGCCUGAUCUUUCUGUCACAGCCCUCAUCCUAGGCCUGGAGGUUGUUUUUGAUUUUGCAGCAUUCAAAAAUAAAAUUGUGAGGAGACUUCUUGGUAGAUACCUCCUGGUACAUAGCUCUGAUUAUUUCCUUUGGACUAAUACUUCAAAGGGAAGUUGCUGAGUUAAAGCUGUGCCUACAUUUCUUGAACCGCAGUUAAGCCAACUUGGUGAGCCUGGUUCUGUGCAAAAUCCUGGAUGACUGAGACUGGCAAUUGCUCCACACUGACGAGAAGAUGCUUUUCCCAUGCCCCUGGCCCUGGUUAAUUUUUCUGUGACAACACUUUGAUCAUAUCGCUUGCUGCUAAAACUACAUUGUUGAUAGAUGUCUCAGCCUGGCAUCCAAGGAUCUUCACAACAAGAAUCCCAAGGAGACCACGAGGCAACUGGGGUGGUGAAAAUGCUUGACCUUCAGAUGCAGAUUGACAUGGGUUCAAACCCUGAUUUUCCCAUAUUCUAAUUGUAUACUCCUGAGGCUCCUUUUUUUGGUCUGAAAAGUGAGGGUAAUAAAACAUAUCUCCUAGGGCAUUCAAAAGCUCUUUGAAAGUCAGAAUGGUGUUGUUAAUAAUUUGCAUCUAGGUUGCAACAUCAACUCACAGAUGCUUAUGCUGGGCAAUAUUCAAUUACAGACCUGUCUGAUUCAAAACCUUAAGUCAGUUGCCAUCAAUGUGGUUUUAAUGCAGGCAGGUUGGGAUCAGUAUUCUACAUGUUUUGGGGGCUGGCAAUCUAACCCUCAUUUAUAGCAUUGUUCCUGAUUUCAAACAGCUGACUUACAAAUGACCUUUUGGAAAUAUUUUACUUGCAAGUAGAGAACUUCCUGUGUUAUUAAUUUUGAGAGUUGAAUUUCCCCGAUUGGCUGCUUUCCACUAUAACAUUGCUCUUUUAAAGUAUUUCCCUGCAGAAUUUCAAUUUUGUGAGAGGCUGCUAUGAAUUCCUUGUGGGGGGAAAAGUGUUCAGUUUUGGUGGACAGAUGAAAAUUAUUGGUUGUCAUGUCUAAGGUUUGCCCAACAUCCGAGAAAUGUGGUGAAGCCCUAGCACACAGAAAUUUUGAAGCUGGUUCUACAAUCUCAAAAAGUUUUAAGCCCCACUUCAUGGUGUAAAUGCUCGGUUGGCACCAGGAAAAUUUAACUCCACAGCCCAGGCUGGGUCUCUUCUCUCUGCCAGUUGUGAAUGGCACCAUCAGAGCAAUUAACAUUAACGUGUGUCCACAUCCAUUCCCUCACUCUUGUAUCCACACAGCAAACCCCCUCAGUGAGGCAAGUUUGGCGAUCCCCGCAGGAUAGAUUUCAUUCACAUAAGCUCUUGCCAAGAAUUUACAGGACUGCUAAUUGCUUGAUUCUUUUCUGAGGUCAGUAAGUCUGGAAAGUCUUAGGUGAAAGAUAGCAAUCAUGCCAAGAUUAGUAAAACAGUUAUUUAAUAAGCAUGAUAUUUUAAACCAGUCUCUGCAGAUACAGUUUGCGGGUGAAUGUGUGAAUUAA